CCACACCUACGGGUGGCAGCAGUCGAGAAUUUUUCUCAAUGGGGGAAACCCUGAAGGAGCGACGCCGCGUGGAGGAUGAAGGUCUUCGGAUUGUAAACUCCUGUCAUUUGGGAACAAUUGUCAGCUAUUAACUACAGCGGACUUGAUAGUACCAGAAGAGGAAGAGACGGCUAACUCUGUGCCAGCAGCCGCGGUAAUACAGAGGUCUCAAGCGUUGUUCGGAUUCAUUGGGCGUAAAGGGUGCGUAGGUGGCGGGGUAAGUCAGGUGUGAAAUCUCGAGGCUCAACCUCGAAACUGCACUUGAUACUGCCUUGCUCGAGUACUGGAGAGGAGAUUGGAAUUUACGGUGUAGCAGUGAAAUGCGUAGAUAUCGUAAGGAAGACCAGUGGCGAAGGCGAAUCUCUGGUCAGUUACUGACACUGAGGCACGAAGGCCAGGGGAGCAAACAGGAUUAGAUACCCUGGUAGUCCUGGCAGUAAACGGUGCGCGUUUGGUGUGGGAGGAUUCGACCCCUUCUGUGCCGGAGCUAACGCGUUAAGCGCGCCGCCUGGGGAGUACGGUCGCAAGAUUAAAACUCAAAGAAAUUGACGGGGGCCCGCACAAGCGGUGGAGUAUGUGGCUUAAUUCGAUCCACGCGAAGAACCUUACCUAGCCUUGACAUGCAUCUCUAAGUCGGUGAAAGCCGGCGACUGUAGCAAUACAGAAUUUGCACAGGUCUGCAUGGCUGUCGUCAGCUCGUGUCGUGAGAUGUUGGGUUAAGUCCCGCAACGAGCGCAACCCCUGUGAACUGUUGCCACCGACCUUCGGGUCGAGCACUCUGUUCAGACUGCCCUGUGAAACGGGGAGGAAGGUGGGGAUGACGUCAAGUCAGCAUGGCCCUUACGGCUAGGGCUGCACACGUACUACAAUGCUCAGUACAGAAUGAACCGAAACCGCGAGGUGGAGGAAAUCCCUAAAACUGAGCCCAAUUCGGAUUGGAGGCUGCAACUCGCCUCCAUGAAGCCGGAAUCGCUAGUAAUGGCGUAUCAGCUACGACGCCGUGAAUACGUUCCCGGGCCUUGUACACACCGCCCGUCACAUCAUGGAAGUCACUUGUACCCGAAGUAGGUGCGCCAACCGCAAGGAGGCAGCCUCCUAAGGUAUGGGUGGUAACUGGGAUGAAGUCGUAACAAGGUAGCCGUAGGGGAGCCUGCGGCUG
rnacentral:rRNA from 1 species